UACGGAGGGUGCGAGCGUUGUCCGGAAUCACUGGGCGUAAAGGGCGCGUAGGCGGCCUGAUAAGUAGGGGGUGAAAUCCUGCGGCUUAACCGCAGGGCUGCCUUCUAAACUGUCAGGCUAGAGCACAGUAGAGGCAGGUGGAAUUCCCGGUGUAGCGGUGGAAUGCGCAGAUAUCGGGAAGAACACCCGUGGCUAAGGCGGCUCUCUAGUACGGUACUGACGCUGAGACGCGAAAGCGUGGGGAGCGAACAGG
rnacentral:rRNA from 1 species